rnacentral:rRNA from 1 species
UACGUAGGUGGCAAGCGUUGUCCGGAUUUAUUGGGUUUAAAGGGUGCGUAGGCGGCUUAAUAAGUCAGUGGUGAAAGCCGAUCGCUUAACGAUCGAACUGCCAUUGAUACUGCUAGACUUGAAUUACUAGGAAGUAACUAGAAUAUGUAGUGUAGCGGUGAAAUGCUUAGAGAUUACAUGGAAUACCAAUUGCGAAGGCAGGUUACUACUAGUGGAUUGACGCUGAUGGACGAAAGCGUGGGGAGCGAGCAGG